GGGCUCAGGAACCACGUCUUCCUGAUCUGAAAUGGUUAAGUAAGGAAUGAGCUACACUAACCCAGUAAAGACAUCACACUAUCUCACUGCCACAGAAGUAAAAGUUGGUAGAAAACAAAAAUGACCAAUGGAGCAUAAUUUAUAACAAACUCAUUUAUUAAUGACAAAAACCUUUACUGUCCACUUACCUCGGUGAGACUCGUGAAAAUAAUAUAUGAAAACAAUAACAUUAUAACCAUCAUAAAAUCAUAUACACUUAGUAACAUAGCACAUGUCAUACUUUUACACUUCAAUAAUCAGACAACAAAUUUCCUCUUUUACCAGCCUACUAGUAUCC
rnacentral:lncRNA from 1 species